AGAGUUUGAUCCUGGCUCAGGAUGAACGCUGACAGAAUGCUUAACACAUGCAAGUCUAUUUGAAGCACCUUCGGGUGUGGAGGAUGGCGGACGGGUGAGUAACGCGUAAGGAACUUGCCUCUUGGACUGGGACAACUGUUGGAAACGACAGCUAAUACCGGAUAUUAUGAGAUUCUCGCAUGAGAAACUUAUGAAAGCUAUAUGCGCCAAGAGAGAGCCUUGCGUUCCAUUAGCUAGUUGGUGGGGUAAAGGCCUACCAAGGCGACGAUGGAUAGCCGGCCUGAGAGGGUGAACGGCCACAAGGGGACUGAGACACGGCCCUUACUCCUACGGGAGGCAGCAGUGGGGAAUAUUGGACAAUGGACCAAAAGUCUGAUCCAGCAAUUCUGUGUGCACGAUGAAGGUCUUCGGAUUGUAAAGUGCUUUCAGUUGGGAAGAAGAAAGUGACGGUACCAACAGAAGAAGCGACGGCUAAAUACGUGCCAGCAGCCGCGGUAAUACGUAUGUCGCAAGCGUUAUCCGGAUUUAUUGGGCGUAAAGCGCGUCUAGGCGGAAAAGUAAGUCUGAUGUGAAAAUGCGGGGCUCAACUCCGUAUUGCGUUGGAAACUGCUUUUCUAGAGUACUGGAGAGGUGGGCGGAACUACAAGUGUAGAGGUGAAAUUCGUAGAUAUUUGUAGGAAUGCCGAUGGAGAAGUCAGCUCACUGGACAGAUACUGACGCUGAAGCGCGAAAGCGUGGGGAGCAAACAGGAUUAGAUACCCUGGUAGUCCACGCCGUAAACGAUGAUCACUAGGUGUUGGGGGUCGAACCUCAGCGCCCAAGCUAACGCGAUAAGUGAUCCGCCUGGGGAGUACGCACGCAAGUGUGAAACUCAAAGGAAUUGACGG
rnacentral:rRNA from 1 species